rnacentral:rRNA from 1 species
UGAUCCAGAGUACCACGGGACACGUGAAACCCUGUGGGAAGCAGGAGGGACCACCCUCCAAGGCUAAAUACUACCUAGUGACCGAUAGCGUAUAGUACCGUGAGGGAAAGGUGAAAAGAACCCCGGGAGGGGAGUGAAAUAGAACCUGAAACCCUGCACUUACAAGCUGUGGAAGCACAUUUCUUGUGUGACCGCGUACUUUUUGUAGAACGGGCCAACGAGUUACGUUAAGUAGCAAGGUUAAGCACUUAAGGUGCGGAGCCGUAGCGAAAGCGAGUUUUAACUGAGCGUUCAGUUACUUGACGUAGACCCGAAACCGGGCGACCUACCCAUGAGCAGGAUGAAGCGAAAGUAAAAUUUCGUGGAGGUCCGAACCCACGAGCGUUGAAAAGCUCGGGGAUGACUUGUGGGUAGCGGUGAAAUUCCAAUCGAGCCCGGAGAUAGCUGGUUCUCCCCGAAAUAGCUUUAGGGCUAGCCUCAAGGUGAGAGAUACGGAGGUAGAGCACUGAAUGUCCUAGGGGGUAUUGCACCUACCGAAGACUAUCAAACUCCGAAUGCCGUCAUCUUAUACUUGGGAGUCAGACUGUGGGUGAUAAGAUUCAUAGUCGAAAGGGCAACAGCCCAGAUCGUCAGCUAAGGUCCCUAAAUGUAAGUUAAGUGGUAAAGGAUGUGGGAUUGCACAGACAACCAGGAUGUUGGCUUAGAAGCAGCCACUCAUUCAAAGAGUGCGUAAUAGCUCACUGGUCGAGUGAUCCUGCGCCGAAGAUUUCCGGGGCUAAAACUUACUACCGAAGCUACGGCAUCAGUAAUGAUGGGUAGGGGAGCUUCCCAUACGGGUUGAAGCAUGACCGUAAGGACAUGUGGACAGUAUGGGAGUGAGAAUGUUGGCAUGAGUAGCGAGAUGUGGGUGAGAAUCCCACAGGCCGUAAACCCAAGGUUUCCAGGGGAAGGUUCGUCCGCCCUGGGUUAGUCGGGACCUAAGCUGAGGCCGAAAGGCGUAGGUGAUGGACAACAGGUUGAUAUUCCUGUACUACCGAUAACCGUUUGAGAGAAGGGAUGACACAGUAGGAUAAGCUAAGCACACUGUUGGUUAUGUGUGCCCAAGCAUUGAGGCAGUCAAAGUAGGCAAAUCCGCUUUGAUAAUGCUGGGAUGUGAUGGGGAGCGAAAUUUAGUAGCGAAGUAGCUGAUUUCACACUGUCAAGAAAAGUCUCUAUCGAGGUUAAAGGUACCCGUACCGCAAACCGACACAGGUGGGUGAGGAGAGUAUCCUAAGGCCAGCGAGAGAACUGUUGUUAAGGAACUCGGCAAAAUGACCCCGUAACUUAGGGAUAAGGGGUGCCACCAUCAGGUGGCCGCAGAGAAUAGGCCCAAGCGACUGUUUACCAAAAACAUAGGUUUCUGCUAAGUCGCAAGACGAUGUAUAGGAGCUGACGCCUGCCCGGUGCUGGAAGGUUAAGGGGAUCUGUUAGAGCAAUCGAAGCAGUGAACUUAAGCCCCAGUAAACGGCGGCCGUAACUAUAACGGUCCUAAGGUAGCGAAAUUCCUUGUCGGGUAAGUUCCGACCCGCACGAAAGGCGUAACGAUUUGGGCACUGUCUCAACAACAGACUCGGUGAAAUUGUAAUUCCGGUGAAGAUGCCGGAUACCUGCGACAGGACGGAAAGACCCCAUGGAGCUUUACUGUAGCUUGACAUUGGGUCUUGGUACUACAUGUACAGGAUAGGUGGGAGGCUUUGAAACCAGGACGCCAGUUUUGGCGGAGCCAUCCUUGGGAUACCACCCUUGUAGUACUGGGACUCUAACCAUAGGCCAUGAAUCUGGUCUUGGGACACUGUCAGGUGGGCAGUUUGACUGGGGCGGUCGCCUCCCAAAAGGUAACGGAGGCGCUCAAAGGUUCUCUCAGUACGGUCGGAAAUCGUACGUAGAGUGUAAAGGCAAAAGAGAGCUUGAUUGCAAGACAUACAGGUCGAGCAAGGAUGAAAAUCGGACUUAGUGAUCCGGUGGUUCUGCGUGGAAGGGCCAUCGCUCAACGGAUAAAAGCUACCCUGGGGAUAA